rnacentral:rRNA from 1 species
UGGGGAAUAUUGCACAAUGGGCGCAAGCCUGAUGCAGCCAUGCCGCGUGUAUGAAGAAGGCCUUCGGGUUGUAAAGUACUUUCAGCGGGGAGGAAGGGAGUAAAGUUAAUACCUUUGCUCAUUGACGUUACCCGCAGAAGAAGCACCGGCUAACUCCGUGCCAGCAGCCGCGGUAAUACGGAGGGUGCAAGCGUUGUCCGGAAUUAUUGGGCGUAAAGGGCUUGUAUGCGGCUUGUUGCGCCUGCUGUGAAAACGCGGGGCUUAACUUCGCGCGUGCAGUGGGUACGGGCAGGCUUGAGUGUGGUAGGGGUGACUGGAAUUCCAGGUGUAGCGGUGGAAUGCGCAGAUAUCUGGAGGAACACCGAUGGCGAAGGCAGGUCACUGGGCCAUUACUGACGCUGAGGAGCGAAAGCAUGGGUAGCGAACAGG